rnacentral:rRNA from 1 species
GACGAACGCUGGCGGCGUGCUUAACACAUGCAAGUCGAACGAGAGGAGAAGGAAGCUUGCUUCUUUCAAAUCUAGUGGCAAACGGGUGAGUAACACGUAAACAACCUGCCUUCAGGAUGGGGACAACAGACGGAAACGACUGCUAAUACCGAAUACGUUCCUUAGGUCGCAUGACUUUAGGAAGAAAGGGUGGCCUCUACUUGUAAGCUAUCGCCUGAAGAGGGGUUUGCGUCUGAUUAGCCAGUUGGCGGGGUAACGGCCCACCAAAGCGACGAUCAGUAGCCGACCUGAGAGGGUGACCGGCCACAUUGGGACUGAGACACGGCCCAAACUCCUACGGGAGGCAGCAGUGGGGAAUAUUGCACAAUGGGGGAAACCCUGAUGCAGCGACGCCGCGUGAGCGAAGAAGUAUUUCGGUAUGUAAAGCUCUAUCAGCAGGGAAGAAGAAAUGACGGUACCUGACUAAGAAGCCCCGGNUAACUACGUGCCAGCAGCCGCGGGU